UAAAAAAUUAAUAGAUCUCUAAUGGCAAUGAAACAAUUGAAAAAAUGUCUGUUCAGAAAGAUCAUUCUUCUCUGCUGCAGGGAUCAGUUGCAUCCUAGCUUGAAGGGAAAAAAAAACCAGCUAUACCUCCUAGCAGGACUGAACCUCUAGCCUCUCAUCCCAAACAGGAGCCUUGAAGUUGCACUGAGAUCAUAAAGACCAGUUGUCCUUUGACCUCCUGAAAGUCAUCUCCAGGAUAUUUCAGGCAGUAUUAGAUCAAGGAACUCAGAGCUAGAGUUAAAUAAUGCUUCACUCCCUGGAGUUAUAUUUCUACUUCUGAACAAAAGUUCUGUGGACUGGGGAACAAACAUUGCAACUACUCUGGAAAGAGAAAUGUUCAAUAAUAUUACAUUGGAUCCAAAACACAUUCCCCAAAAUGGCAGGCUCUGAAUCAUUUAUCAGCACUCAUCAUGGUAUGCCAAGUUUGAUGUCAAGAAGAUACCUUCCCUAGCUCUAUCUCCCAAGGCAUGUCACUUAACCUCCUACCUACUAAGUUUCUUCAUCUGAAAAAUGUUUAUAGUCUAUCUUUCAAAAGGGUUGUUGUAUCAAAUAAUCACUCUGGAAAUUUAAUCUGUGCUUGUAACUCAUUCCCUAUCAUUUAGUUCCACUCAGAACUUCAGUUUUAAGAAAGAAUCCAGGCCAACUAUGUCCUUGUGCCUCUUCAGCCACCCCCGACCUUUUCUUUUUUGCCUUCCCCCACUGGAAAAUAAAUUUCUUAAGGACAGAGACAA